UGGGGAAUCUUGCGCAAUGGGGGGAACCCUGACGCAGCGACGCCGCGUGCGGGACGGAGGCCUUCGGGUCGUAAACCGCUUUCAGCAGGGAAGAGUCAAGACUGUACCUGCAGAAGAAGCCCCGGCUAACUACGUGCCAGCAGCCGCGGUAAUACGUAGGGGGCGAGCGUUAUCCGGAUUCAUUGGGCGUAAAGCGCGCGUAGGCGGCCCGGCAGGCCGGGGGUCGAAGCGGGGGGCUCGACCCCCCGAAGCCCCCGGAACCUCCGCGGCUUGGGUCCGGUAGGGGAGGGUGGAACACCCGGUGUAGCGGUGGAAUGCGCAGAUAUCGGGUGGAACACCGGUGGCGAAGGCGGCCCUCUGGGCCGAGACCGACGCUGAGGCGCGAAAGCUGGGGGAGCGAACAGG
rnacentral:rRNA from 1 species